rnacentral:rRNA from 1 species
CCUACGGGAGGCAGCAGUGAGGAAUAUUGGUCAAUGGACGAGAGUCUGAACCAGCCAAGUAGCGUGAAGGAUGACUGCCCUAUGGGUUGUAAACUUCUUUUAUAUGGGAAUAAAAUGUUCCACGUGUGGGAGUUUGUAUGUACCAUAUGAAUAAGGCUCGGCUAACUCCGUGCCAGCAGCCGCGGGAAUACGGAGGAUCCGAGCGUUAACCGGAUUUAUUGGGUUUAAAGGGAGCGUAGGUGGGUUGUUAAGUCAGUUGUGAAAGUUUGCGGCUCAACCGUAAAAUUGCAGUUGAAACUGGCAGUCUUGAGUACAGUAGAGGUGUGCGGAAUUCGUGGUGUAGCGGUGAAAUGCUUAGAUAUCACGAAGAACUCCGAUUGCGAAGGCAGCUCACUGGACUGCAACUGACACUGAGGCUCGAAAGUGUGGGUAUCAAACAGGAUUAGAUACCCCUGUAGUC